UACAGAGGGGGCAAGCGUUGUUCGGAAUUACUGGGCGUAAAGGGCGCGUAGGUGGCCUUCUAAGUUGAACGUGAAAUCCCUGGGCUCAACCCAGGAACUGCGUCCAAGACUGGGAGGCUUGAAUCCGGAGAGGGAUGCGGAAUUCCAGGUGUAGCGGUGAAAUGCGUAGAUAUCUGGAGGAACACCGGUGGCGAAGGCGGCAUCCUGGACCGGGAUUGACACUGAGGCGCGAAAGCCAGGGGAGCAAACGGG
rnacentral:rRNA from 1 species